AGAAGGAUGAUGUGUCGAAAGAUUCCUUGACAGAAAAUGGUACAAGACUUAAAUUUUUGAAUUUCAAUAUUAUAAUUUUGAAACUGUUGAGAAAGUAUAUGUCAUCAACUCCUAUUCUUGACAGAUGAUUCUACCUUAACUGACAUGCCAGCCAUCCUCACUCUGAAGGAUGAGGAUGGGAAGGACCAUCUUCUUAGGGCGCUCGUAAAGAGCAGAGAAAAUUUUCCUACUAAUGGACCGCAUGAGGAGGCAAUACGCACUGUCCAGAAGCUUGUCCACAAAGAAAAUGUUAUUGCUAGUUGUGCUGAAAUACGGAAAAAAAGGGCUACAUUCCGAGACGCAUACAACAAACAAAAAGCCAACGCUGUCAAGCCAAACAGUUUCUUCAAUGUUUACUCUGUGAUUUUUGACAAUGCUGACAUUAACAUCCUCAAAGGCACUAAGUAUGAGGUCAGCAUGGACAACUCUGUUUCUGAUUUUAACAGCACCAUCAUGGACAAUGGGAUGAAUAAUGAGGAUUUAGAUUCUCUAAUUAAAUUGUCAGGAGGUACUUGUCUCAUGCAUACAGUUCAUUCUCGCUGUUGCUGUUAAGCAAUUUUUUUUGUUUUUUGUAAGUCCACUUAGUGUAAUUGUCUUUUAAUUUUGCACCUUUUUUAAUAGCAUCUACAUGGACUAAUGACGCCACAAAAGCAUUCAUCGGUGUGUGCAUUGAUUGUAAACCAUUGUAUGAUAAUGGAAAAAGAGACAAUUUCUGGCUGACCGUGAGCCGUACUUUGGCUCGUCAAAAAUAUAUGCACAUGCCUAAAAGAUGCCAGAAAAGGUUUGAGGCAUUGACAGCGGAAUAUAGAAACUACUCUCAAGAGGCUGAGCGAACAGGGGCAGAAGGUCCCUUAGAAAUGAUAAAGUCAAGUGAGACUAGAAAAAUAAUGGCACUGAUGGGAGAAUUCUGGUGUAAUAGUGUUUCUAUCAAACCCAAAGUAACUAUAGCAGCUGGAGUCAAGGCUGUGACUCAUCAUACUGAAAAACAGCCAUCACCAACAGGCAGAGUCAGAAAGCUACCCUCCAAGAAAACUGACACUCGUGCAGAAAGGCUAUUGAAAUGUGAGGAAGAAAAGUCAGGUGCUCUAAAACUAAUGUCUGAGAGCAUAGCAUUGAUGAUGCAAAACAAGCGGAAUCAAUAACAAUUAAAUUUUUAGCCCCCUUUUGGAAGUGGUACAUUUGUUCUGAUUAUGUAUGUUAUUGUAACUUAUUUUCUUUUCUUUGAUAUUUAAUGCUCUUUUU